rnacentral:rRNA from 1 species
AGCGAACGCUGGCGGCAGGCCUAACACAUGCAAGUCGAACGAACUCUUCGGAGUUAGUGGCGGACGGGUGAGUAACACGUGGGAACGUGCCUUUAGGUUCGGAAUAACUCAGGGAAACUUGUGCUAAUACCGAAUGUGCCCUUCGGGGGAAAGAUUUAUCGCCUUUAGAGCGGCCCGCGUCUGAUUAGCUAGUUGGUGAGGUAAAGGCUCACCAAGGCGACGAUCAGUAGCUGGUCUGAGAGGAUGAUCAGCCACAUUGGGACUGAGACACGGCCCAACCUCCUACGGGAGGCAGCAGUGGGGAAUCUUGCGCAAUGGGCGAAAGCCUGACGCAGCCAUGCCGCGUGAAUGAUGAAGGUCUUAGGAUUGUAAAAUUCUUUCACCGGGGACGAUAAUGACGGUACCCGGAGAAGAAGCCCCGGCUAACUUCGUG